rnacentral:rRNA from 1 species
GGAUUAGUGGCGAACGGGUGAGUAACACGUGAGUAACCUGCCCUUGACUCUGGGAUAAGCCUGGGAAACUGGGUCUAAUACCGGAUAUGACCUUCCAUCGCAUGGUGGUUGGUGGAAAGCUUUUGUGGUUUUGGAUGGACUCGCGGCCUAUCAGCUUGUUGGUGGGGUAAUGGCCUACCAAGGCGACGACGGGUAGCCGGCCUGAGAGGGUGACCGGCCACACUGGGACUGAGACACGGCCCAGACUCCUACGGGAGGCAGCAGUGGGGAAUAUUGCACAAUGGGCGCAAGCCUGAUGCAGCGACGCCGCGUGAGGGAUGACGGCCUUCGGGUUGUAAACCUCUUUCAGUAGGGAAGAAGCGUAAGUGACGGUACCUGCAGAAGAAGCGCCGGCUAACUACGUGCCACCAGCCGCGGUAAUACGUAGGGCGCAAGCGUUAUCCGGAAUUAUUGGGCGUAAAGAGCUCGUAGGCGGUUUGUCGCGUCUGCCGUGAAAGUCCGGGGCUCAACUCCGGAUCUGCGGUGGGUAC